rnacentral:lncRNA from 1 species
UCUUCUAAUUUGCCGGAACUGCCAUCAUCAUUGCUACCUUUGAGUACAAGUACUUCUUCUAGUGUAACAUCUGCUUCUGUACCUCUAUCAAAUUUUCCUCCAGCACCGUCUGGUUUAUCUCCCGCCCCUUCUUCCCUGUCUCCUGCACCUUCUGCCCUGUCUCCUGCACCUUCUGCUUUGAUUCCUGAUCCUUCUGCUACACUAGAUUCUGAAAAUUUUCCUGUUUCAGUAACAAGCAAAGCACCCAUUAUUUCUACUUCAACAGUAGCACUAGCUGCUAGCUUACCAUCCAUGACUCCAUUGACCAAUUCUGGUCC